rnacentral:rRNA from 1 species
AUUGAACGCUGGCGGCAUGCCUUACACAUGCAAGUCGAACGGUAACGCGGGGCAACCUGGCGGCGAGUGGCGAACGGGUGAGUAAAGCAUCGGAACGUGCCCAGUAGUGGGGGAUAGCCCGGCGAAAGCCGGAUUAAUACCGCAUACGACCUAUGGGUGAAAGGGGGGGAUCGCAAGACCUCUCGCUAUUGGAGCGGCCGAUGUCAGAUUAGGUAGUUGGUGGGGUAAAGGCCUACCAAGCCGACGAUCUGUAGCUGGUCUGAGAGGACGACCAGCAAAACUGGGACUGAGACACGGCCCAGACUCCUCCGGGAGGCAGCAGUGGGGAAUUUUGGACAAUGGGCGCAAGCCUGAUCCAGCCAUGCCGCGUGCGGGAAGAAGGCCUUCGGGUUGUAAACCGCUUUUGUCAGGGAAGAAAUCCUUUGGGUUAAUACCUCGGGGGGAUGACGGUACCUGAAGAAUAAGCACCGGCUAACUACGUGCCAGCCGCCGCCGUAA